GGGGACGAAGGGUUAGGGGUUAAUAGCCCCGAGCCUGACGGUACCCUUCGAGGAAGCCCCGGCUAACUACGUGCCAGCAGCCGCGGUAAUACGUAGGGGGCGAGCGUUGUCCGGAAUCAUUGGGCGUAAAGAGCGUGUAGGCGGUUCGGUAAGUCUGCCGUGAAAACCUGGGGCUCAACCCCGGGCGUGCGGUGGAUACUGCCGGGCUAGAGGAUGGUAGAGGCGAGUGGAAUUCCCGGUGUAGCGGUGAAAUGCGCAGAUAUCGGGAGGAACACCAGUAGCGAAGGCGGCUCGCUGGGCCAUUCCUGACGCUGAGACGCGAAAGCUAGGGGAGCAAACAGGAUUAGAUACCCUGGUAGUCCUAGCCGUAAACGAUGAACACUAGGUGUGGGGGGAGUCGAAUCCCUCUGUGCCGCAGCCAACGCGAUAAGUGUUCCGCCUGGGGAGUACGGCCGCAAGGCUAAAACUCAAAGGAAUUGACGGGGGCCCGCACAAGCAGCGGAGCAUGUUCUUUAAUUCGAUGCAACGCGAAGAACCUUACCUGGGCUUGACAUGCAGCUGCAAGCGCACGGAAACGUGUGACCUUCGAGGGUGCUGCACAGAUGCUGCAUGGCUGUCGU
rnacentral:rRNA from 1 species